ACGAACGCUGGCGGCGUGCUUCACACCUGCAAGUCGCACGGAAAGGCCCUGCUUUUGUGGGGUGCUCGAGUGGCGAACGGGUGAGUAACACGUGAGUAACCUGCCCUUGACUUUGGGAUAACUUCAGGAAACUGGGGCUAAUACCGGAUAGGAGCUCCUGCUGCAUGGUGGGGGUUGGAAAGUUUCGGCGGUUGGGGAUGGACUCGCGGCUUAUCAGCUUGUUGGUGGGGUAGUGGUUUACCAAGGCUUUGACGGGUAGCCGGCCUGAGAGGGUGACCGGCCACAUUGGGACUGAGAUACGGCCCAGACUCCUACGGGAGGCAGCAGUGGGGAAUAUUGCACAAUGGGCGGAAGCCUGAUGCAGCAACGCCGCGUGCGGGAUGACGGCCUUCGGGUUGUAAACCGCUUUCGCCUGUGACGAAGCGUGAGUGACGGUAAUGGGUAAAGAAGCACCGGCUAACUACGUG
rnacentral:rRNA from 1 species